GGAACUGGAGGAGGGGCUUAGGAAUGGGGUCUACCUUGCCAAGCUGGGGAACUUCUUCUCUCCCAAAGUAGUGUCCCUGAAAAAAAUCUAUGAUCGAGAACAGACCAGAUACAAGGCAACUGGCCUCCACUUUAGACACACUGAUAAUGUGAUCCAGUGGUUGAAUGCCAUGGAUGAGAUUGGAUUGCCUAAGGUAACUUACCUGAGAUAAUAGUUUAGGCUUUGUUCCAACUGUUGUGGCAUAACCCCCAAACAACCUGUUCUCAUUCUGCCUGUAAAAUUAUUCUCAGAAUCUUUGGUGUUUUUUUAAAUACUAAAAGAUGUCUUUCUUUUUGACUUAGGAAAUAGUUUUGCUCUUUUUCUUUUAUAAUCCUCA
rnacentral:sRNA from 1 species